UAUAAGUGAUGGCGACCGGCGCACGGGUGAGUAACACGUAUCCAACCUGCCGAUAACUCGGGGAUAGCCUUUCGAAAGAAAGAUUAAUACCCGAUGGUAUAAUAAAACCGCAUGGUUUAAUUAUUAAAGAAUUUCAGUUAUCGAUGGGGAUGCGUUCCAUUAGGCAGUUGGUGAGGUAACGGCUCACCAAACCUUCGAUGGAUAGGGGUUCUGAGAGGAAGGUCCCCCACAUUGGAACUGAGACACGGUCCAA
rnacentral:rRNA from 1 species